GAUCAUGGCUCAGGAUGAACGCUAGCUACAGGCUUAAACACAUGCAAGUCGAGGGGCAGCAUGAACAUAGCUUGCUAUGUUUGAUGGCGACCGGCGCACGGGUGCGUAACACGUAUCCAAUCUGCCCGUUACUCGGGGAUAGCCUUCUGAAAAGGAAGAUUAAUACCCGAUGGCAUUCAUUAGCGGCAUCCCUUUAAUGUCAAAGAUUUAUCGCUGAAAGAUGGGCUCGCGUCUGAUUAGAUAGUUGGUGGGGUAACGGCCUACCAAGUCGACGAUCAGUAGCCGGACUGAGAGGUUGAACGGCCACAUUGGGACUGAGAUACGGCCCAGACUCCUACGGGAGGCAGCAGUGGGGGAUAUUGCGCAAUGGGGGAAACCCUGACGCAGCAACGCCGCGUGCAGGAUGACGGCCUUCGGGUUGUAAACUGUUGUCGCAAGGGAAGAAAAAAAUGACGGUACCUUGUGAGAAAGCCACGGCUAACUACGUG
rnacentral:rRNA from 1 species